CGGUGAAUACGUUCCCGGACCUUGUACACACUGCCCGUCAAGCCAUGGAAGCUGGGUGUACCUAAAGUCGGUAACCGCAAGGAGCCGCCUAGGGUAAAACUAGUAACUGGGGCU
rnacentral:rRNA from 1 species